rnacentral:misc_RNA from 1 species
GGAACUUGACCAGCUCUCAAGUAGCCAGGGGUAAAAGCUUACAUUGGUGCUGUCUUGUAGAACAAAUGAAACAGUCAAGUUUUACACAGAGAUCCCCCAAUUCAUUUGGCAAUCAAAGAACUCUCAAUAUGGCCUGAGCAUUCGGUUCUUCACAGGUGCAUACCGAACUGAAAUUACCUCGGUUUGGUUCCAUCUUUUCUAAUUUGGUUCGGUUCUUUGGUAUGGG